UUUACCUAUAACCCAUUAAUACACCCUGGCGUAUCUUUUUAAACCAAGCUUCCUCAACUAGUGAUCUACUGGGAGAAAGGUCAAAGAUCUUAGCAAUGAGUAGCUACAUAAAACCAAGCAAGUCACUCUUCCAUAUUGAGCAAAUCAUUAAAGGAACAAUAGGCACCAUAAUUAUUUAAUUGGAAUGAAUUGGUUAUGGUUAGUGAU